GCGCUUACUUCAGCAGCACAUACAGAUCGAAAUGACACAGAGAAGAUUAGCAUAGUCCCUGCACAGUGAUGACACACAAAUUCGUGAAGCAUUCCAUAUUUUU
ensembl:snRNA U6 U6 spliceosomal RNA